UCCAAGAUGAGCGAGGUGAGUGAGUGAGUGAAUCACGGCGGUUGUCAAUGCAGCAGACGCACCAGUGACUGCAGCGUGGACACACAGGGGAGGCCAACAGCAGCCAAACGUCCGCCACAGACAACAAAGAAAAGGCAUCUGACUCUGC